rnacentral:lncRNA from 1 species
UGACGUAGCUGAUAAGAGAUAAUGAAAUUGAAGGAGUUGCCUAGAGAAGAGAGAAGCCGUUUUUCUCUGAGCUGGAGUAUGCUCCCUACAAGCUGAAGAUAAGAGAGCUGCAGGGAGGCCAGCUUAUAGGUCAAGAAGCAGGAAGAAAGGGCCUUAGGAUAAAUAGCCAGCUCCAGCUUAUCCUAGACAGCAAGGCUCCAUCCUAUUGUUGAUUCUGGGAGUAAAAUGGUUUCCCUGGUUACUGGAGCCUGUUUAUUCAGUCAGGCCAAAGAGGCAAGUAUGUUCACACCAUGAGAUGGACAAGCAGAAAUGACUCACUGUGUUUUCCAACUGUACUCAAGACCUGGCUCUAUACGCCCUCCUCCUCUGCUUGAGCAGAAGGCGAAAGAGGUUGUGGAGACUGUGGGAUUUGGCCAUUGAACCUUGAAGGCAAAUGCUCAUUGACUUCACUAUAACAUCUGUGGGCGCUUGGCCAAGAAAGGCUAGUUAGGACCAGCCUUUAUGCAAACACAGCUGAGGUAUUUAUCCUGCCUCUCUACAUCACAAAAGAAGCAUGGAGAACAAUGGAGAAUAAUAGAGGUCAAGUGGAGCAGGAACUGCCCAGAAUUUGGAGAAGAGAUGCAUAUCAGUCCUGGCCUUGAUCAUUGGGCCACAUAUACUAUAUCCAAGUUGAUAUCUUCAAUGUUGAGAUUAUUUGAAGCUGAGUUUCAGUCUCUGUGAAGGCUAGUCUACUCAGAUUGACCACUACUCCCAGGGAGCUGCCCUUCAGGAUCCCUGCUGAGAAUAGACUCUGAACACCUUAUGGUGCUGCUACUCAUGUGAGCUGGUUGAAAGUUUUGCUCAAUUUCUGGGCUUCUCAGCAUCCUCUUCUAGAACCAGCAUACAAUAGAGUGGGAAAGAGGUCCCAAGCCGACCUUACCUCUGUGGGUUUCUAUCCCAGAUUUCAGCUCUGUAAUUCUCCCCUAUCUUGUUGGCUCUCCAAAGCUCUCAAGGAGAAUUUAAAAAAAUUAUGUUCUAGCUGUUUAUUUGGGAAGGUUGUUCUGAAUGUCUCAGUUUGCCUUCAAUGAAAGUGCAGUUUUAUCUUACUGGAUUUUCCCAAAUGGUGGAGUAAGGAGUAUUAUUCCUUUGCUAGUGAGGAAAUCAGUCACAGAUGAGCCAAGUAAAUUGCUCAAAGUUACAUUUAGAAAGUGACAAACUUAGAAUUUGAAACUGUGUUUCUGUCUGUAAAAUUGAGGCUAUUUACAUUAGCUAAAAGCAAUUUUGGCUGAUUUCCUCAAAUGGAACACACCAUUAGCAGAUUUAUUAAUAACAAUAAUGCUUACAUUUCUC